GGAGUUAGCCGGUGCUUCUUCUGUGAGUGAUGUCCUUCCUGCCGGCUAUUAACCCGCAGGCCUUCUUCCUCACUGAAAGUGCUUUACAACCCGAAGGCCUUCUUCACACACGCGGCAUGGCUGGAUCAGGGUUGCCCCCAUUGUCCAAUAUUCCCCACUGCUGCCUCCCGUAGGAGUCUGGGCCGUGUCUCAGUCCCAGUGUGGCUGAUCAUCCUCUCAGACCAGCUACGGAUCGUCGCCUUGGUGAGCCGUUACCUCACCAACCAGCUAAUCCGACAUAGGCUCAUCCGAUAGCGCGAGGCCCGAAGGUCCCCCGCUUUCCCCCGGUAGGGCGUAUGCGGUAUUAGCCUGGGUUUCCCCCAGGUUAUCCCCCACUACCGGGCAGAUUCCUAUGCAUUACUCACCCGUCCGCCGCUCGCCACCAGGGAGCAAGCUCCCCGUGCUGCCGCUCGACUUGCAUGUGUAGCUCGCCGCCACGCGUCAUCUGAGCGAGAAUACAACUACUGA
rnacentral:rRNA from 1 species